rnacentral:tmRNA from 1 species
GGGGCUGACCGGUAUUGACAGCGGGCAGAAGUGAUUUGUAAGCAUGUAGUGCGUCGUUGGCUAGCACUUAAAUCUCGGACAACAAAAACCCAACUGGCGAAAAUAAUUACGCUCUUGCUGCUUAAUCGAAUUAUAGUAGAUUAAGCUUAAUUCCCACAAUAGUUGUGGGAACGAGAUAUCACCCAGAUGCUGUGGCUUCGAAGCUAUCUGAAUCGGUGGUACAGCUAUAUCGGAGAUAGCAUAAAAAACGCCUCGUGUUUUAUGCGAAACAAUAGAGGAUACGGAUUGAGUUGGUGGCUUUGGUCUUGCUCUUUCUCGACAAUUUAAGCGAAGAUAAACAUGUAGAAAGCUAAUUAAUUCCUCGUUUGGACGAGAGUUCGAAUCUCUCCAGCUCCACA